rnacentral:rRNA from 1 species
GACGAACGCUGGCGGCGUGCUUAACACAUGCAAGUCGAACGGAAAGGCCCUGCUUUUGUGGGGUGCUCGAGUGGCGAAAGGGUGAGUAACACGUGAGUAACCUGCCCUUGACUUUGGGAUAACUUCAGGAAACUGGGGCUAAUACCGGAUAGGAGCUCCUGCUGCAUGGUGGGGGUUGGAAAGUUUCGGCGGUUGGGGAUGGACUCGCGGCUUAUCAGCUUGUUGGUGGGGUAGUGGCUUACCAAGGCUUUGACGGGUAGCCGGCCUGAGAGGGUGACCGGCCACAUUGGGACUGAGAUACGGCCCAGACUCCUACGGGAGGCAGCAGUGGGGAAUAUUGCACAAUGGGCGGAAGCCUGAUGCAGCAACGCCGCGUGCGGGAUGACGGCCUUCGGGUUGUAAACCGCUUUCGCAUGUGACGAAGCGUGAGUGACGGUAAUGGGUAAAGAAGCACCGGCUAACUACGUG